rnacentral:lncRNA from 1 species
AAACAACUGGAGAAUUCAUACCCUAGUCCACACUCCACACGCGCUCCGAUCUUAGGAUGAAGCUCCUCAUCCUAAACUAUUCACACUAUGAAUAUCCGCUAUGAGAUGAUCAAUAUCUUACUCAUGUCAAUAUGUCAUCAUGUGACCUUUUACCACUUCCCCCAAAUGCUUGAAACUUUACCAUUUCAUACAUGUUCAAAAGAAAGACCAUCUCUUGAUCACAGAGAUGAAAACAUAAUAAGAAGAUUGAAACUUUACCAAUAUCUUAGUAAAAAAA